GCCAUAGUAACGGCGAGUGAAGCGGCAAAAGCUCAAAUUUGAAAUCUGGCCCUAGCGGCCCGAUUUGUAUUUUGCAGAAGACGCUUUCUGUGCGGUGCCUUCCGAGUUCCCUGGAACGGGACCCCAUAGGGGGAGAGAGCCCCGUACGGGUGGACGCCUAGCCUCUAUAAAGCUCCUUCGACGAGUCGAGUAUUUUGGGAAUGCUGCUCUAAAUGGGAGGUAAAUUUCUUCUAAAGCUAAAUACCGGCCAGAGACCGAUAGCGCACAAGUAGAGUGAUCGAAAUGAUGAAAAGCACUUUGAAAAGAGGGUUAAAUAGCACGUGAAAUUGUUGAAAGGGAAGCGUUUGCGACCAGACCUUCUCCGGGGGGAUCACCCGCUGUUCUCAGCGGUGCACUUCCCUCGGUUUAGGCCAGCAUCGGUUCUCUUAGGGGGAUAAAGGCCUGGGGCACGUAGCUCUUUAGGGAGUGUUAUAGCCCCUGGCGUAAUACCUUUCAGGGGACCGAGGACCGCCCUCCCGCAGGGAUGCUGGCAUAGUGGUCGUCCACCACCCGUCUUGAAACACGGACCAGGGACUCGAACAUUUGUGCGAGUGUUUGGGUGUUAAACCCUCACGCAUAGUGAAAGUGAACGGAGGAGAGAGUCUUAGCGUGCAUCAUCGACCGAUACUGAUGUCUACGGAUGUAUUUGAGAAAGAGCAUAGCUGUACCCACCAGAAAGAUAGUGAACUAUGCGUGGAUAGAGUGAAGCCAAACUAUCUCUGGUGGAGGCUCGCAUCUGACUGACAUGCAAAUCGAUCAUAUAUCUGCGCGUGGGAGCGAAAGACUUAUCGU
rnacentral:rRNA from 1 species